GCUAAACGCGAAGAACCUUACCAGGGCUUGACAUGCCCCUGACCGUUCUAGAGAUAGGACUUUACCUUCGGGUACAGGGGACACAGGUGGUGCAUGGUUGUCGUCAGCUCGUGUCGUGAGAUGUUGGGUUAAGUCCCGCAACGAGCGCAACCCUUGCCUUUAGUUGCCAUCAUUAAGUUGGGCACUCUAGAGGGACUGCCGAUGAUAAAUCGGAGGAAGGUGGGGAUGACGUCAAAUCAUCAUGCCCUUUAUGUCCUGGGCUACACACGUGCUACAAUGGUCGGUACAACGAGAAGCAACAUAGCGAUGUGAAGCAAAACUCAAAAGCCGAUCCCAGUUCGGAUUGCAGGCUGCAACUCGCCUGCAUGAAGUCGGAGUUGCUAGUAAUCGCGAAUCAGAAUGUCGCGGUGAAUGCGUUCCCGGGUCUUGUACACACCG
rnacentral:rRNA from 1 species